CCAGUUCAAAUACAGCCCGGUAUUUAUUUUUCCUAUUUUGCCUUAAAAAAGGAAAGAGUGACAACCAUCACCGCGUCAGCAACACGAAUAUGACCCCUUUAUAUAGCGAGAAAUGGAGGUUGAAUUUCACAAAUUCCUCCCUUCCUUUAUUCUUAUCUUCUUCAAUAUCUCCUUGUAGCUUUCUACACACUUUUUCACAUGGAUCGGAUCCCGAUCUACUCGCCGAUGUCUAAAUUUCAACGGUUUUCCAUGGAUCUGAAAUCCGGCUCAUCAGAUCUUUCGUUCCUUGGCGAGAUCUGCGUAUUCGUAUUACUUUUGAAGUCCCUUCGUGUUCGUCACUGUUGUUGAAUCACCCUCUUUGCAGGUACAAUUGGAUCGUUGCGAUGAUUGCGAAUCUCGUCGCCGCUUGCUUCAGUAUCAUGUUUUGAAGAGAAGAUUAUUGUAACGGAAGCGUUGCUGGCUUGUUGCGUCCUAUUAACGUCAAAUAUCUAUUCAUGUUGUGAAUUUAGAUUAUGUGAUUGUUGUUUGGGGGAUGAAGUGGUUCUGAAUAAUAUCUUUGUGAACCGACCUUUGCCAUGACAGGUGCGCUUGCAUGGCAGGUCCAAAAAAAUAUGAAUAAAAGAAUAUUUUGUUGUUUCUGAGAGAGAUCGCACGGAAAUUGUCCGGGAUCUCUCUCUCGUGUGUGUGAUCUUCUUCUUCUUUUGUUAUGCUUUCGUUUUUUUCUUUACUGCUCUACCACGCAUCACAACACUCAUCGCCACAGAUUUAUCAUUACACUGGAUUUUCUCCUCGCUAAUCAGAUAAGAGAUUUGCUUAAUGGAGUUCUUCAAUAAUUACGUUAUCAGUUAAGGUAAUUAGUGUUUUGGUAUUUAUGCUAGAAUUUAAUUUGCAUUGAUAAGAUUGUUGAGGAAAGGUCUAUUGAGGAUAGUCUAAUAUUAAUGAAAUCAUUAGUAGUUCCAUACUUAUGAUAUGUGAAAUUAAUAAGUUCCCUAAUUAACAUGGUCUAUUGGGGAAGAUUUGGUUCAUUAGAAUUGCUCCUCUUAAAAUCUAGGCAUGGAUCUUCUGCAGUGGCUGACUGAAUGGUCCAGCUCCAUCUCAUUCAUUUAUUUUGGUCAAUUAUAAAAAAUAAUUAAUAUUAAUUAUUGCAUAAAUUGUUAAGAUUUAAGCAGUAUGAAAAACAUGAGAGAACAGAAGAGAAUAUGUAUAUUGUUAUUCAUCGUUGUGUUCGGCCCGUCUGUAAGUAGAUGGUAGGAUGAUCCACUUGAAUUAGUCUAUCUCAUGUCGAAUAUUUAGUUUUAAAAAAUUGAUUGGCUAGUCUUCGAAUUAAACUUAGAUUUAUCUUUUAAACAUUUUUUAAAAAAGAAAGUGGUUGAUUUAUAAAUAUUAAAGUAGUUGAUAUUUAUAAAUCAACGAAAAAAUUUCUAAAAAAAUAUUUAAAAAAUUAAUGAAAUUUUAAUUUGAUAGUAAAGUAAUUGAUUUUUUAAAACUUAUUAAAAUUUUUUAACUUUUUCUUUUUUUCAAAUUUCAAUAGUUCCUUUAGAUUUUGUGUAUUGGUAUAAAAUUUGAUUUGGUAUCUAUAGAUAAAUAAUAAACUUGUAAAAGUUAUUGCUAUAUAGGAUGCAAUGAUCGUGAGUUUUGUGACUGAUUCACAACAUGUUGUAUGAGGGAUGAAGUGGUUUUAAAUAAACAUCUUUGUUUGUCAUAAUAGGUACGUUUGCAUGGCAUGUAAAAACUGAAUAAAAUAUAUAUUUUGUUGUUCUUGA